UGUGACCUCAAAUCAGGUAGGACUACCCGCUGAACUUAAGCAUAUCAAUAAGCGGAGGAAAAGAAACUAACAAGGAUUCCCCUAGUAACUGCGAGUGAAGCGGGAAAAGCUCAAAUUUAAAAUCUGUCAGUCUUUGGCUGUCCGAGUUGUAAUCUAGAGAAGUGUUAUCUGCGCUGGACCGUGUACAAGUCUCCUGGAAUGGAGCGUCAUAGAGGGUGAGAAUCCCGUCUCUGACACGGACUGCCAGGGCUUUGUGAUGCACUCUCAAAGAGUCGAGUUGUUUGGGAAUGCAGCUCAAAAUGGGUGGUAAAUUCCAUCUAAAGCUAAAUAUUGGCGAGAGACCGAUAGCGAACAAGUACCGUGAGGGAAAGAUGAAAAGAACUUUGGAAAGAGAGUUAAACAGUACGUGAAAUUGCUGAAAGGGAAACGCUUGAAGUCAGUCGCGUUGUCUAGGGAUCAACCUUGCUUUUGCUUGGUGUACUUUCUGGUUAACGGGUCAGCAUCAAUUUUGAUCAUU
rnacentral:rRNA from 1 species